rnacentral:misc_RNA from 1 species
AGUUCUAAGCAGUUGAAAUAUUAUUGAAACGCUAACUUAUCAUUUUGAGAAAAUGAUCGUAAUAAUUAAUUCUAUUUUUUUUCUUCAUUUUGAGAAGUGUGUUAAGCUGAAUUUGUAGGUCAUAAUUUUUAUUUUUCUUUACGUACAAUUUUUAAUAGAGCAAGUAAAAUAUGAACGUACGAGACACUGUGGAAGAAUUGACACGAACUUGUAUAGAAAUACGUCAAAAUUUGGAAUCGUCGUUUGACAGAAAAGAACGGGAAAAAUUGAUAUUAAAUCAUAUCGAAGAGUUUUCGUUAAGGGGAUUACGGGUCACCGAUUUUCAGAAAGGUUUAGAAUGGUUCAACGUCGCAGAGGGGCUAUCCGUGUAUCGACAUCUGGUUGGGAAGAUAAUUAUUCUGGAUUUUUUUACAUAUUGUUGCAUCAACUGUAUGCACAUAUUACCGGAUUUACAUGCCCUUGAGAAACAAUUCACGAUCACGGAUGGUCUCGUCGUGGUUGGAGUACACAGUGCGAAAUUUACAAACGAACGCGAUUCGAGGGGACUAUUAUCAGCUAUACAAAGAUACGACAUAACGCAUCCAGUCGUAAACGACGCAACGCUAUCAAUGUGGCGUGAUUUAGGAAUUUCUUGCUGGCCAACUCUAAUAAUGAUAGGUCCUGCAGGCGAAUUACUUGCAGUUUUCGUAGGAGAAGGUCAUAAAGAGGAAUUAAACCUAUACACAAACGUAGCAUUAACAUAUUUCGAGUCGUUGAAUAAAAUAUCUAAACAUGAUCUUCCUUUGCAAUUAGCACGGCAUUUAUUGCCUAUCGGUAGUAAGGAAACACUUUUAUUCCCCAGUAAGUUAGAAAGCUUUCAGAGCGAACAAGGGGAAAGAUUGAUUAUAUCAGACACCGGCAACAAUAGAAUUUUAGUGACAGAUAUGGUGGGUACGGUGGAAUAUGUUAUCGGUGGUAUGAAUCCAGAUUUCAGAGAUGGCAACUUUGAAAAUGCCAGAUUUAAUGCACCUCAAGGUGUGUGCGUAUUAGGUGAUUCGAUCUUCGUAGCUGAUAACGAGAAUCAUGCGGUUAGAAAGAUAGACCUGACGAAAAAAAUUGUUACCACCGUUGCUGGUACUGGUAUUCAAGGUUUCGAUCGUAUCGGAGGUAAAACGGGUAAAGAUCAGGUUUUGUCGUCUCCAUGGGAUGUAGCUGUUUUUAAUCAUCAGAACGGUAACAAGAUAGUACCGGUGCUAUUGAUCGCUAUCGCGGGCAUACAUCAGAUUUGGGCUCUUUUCUUGGAAAAUACUGUGUGGUGGAAAAACAGAGAGUAUAAGGCCGAUUCGUGCGUCGCGAUAGUAGGAAGUGGUAAAGAGGAAAAUCGUAACAACGCUUAUCCUCAUGCAGCGGGUUUAGCGCAACCAUCCGGAUUGACCAUCGAUCAUAAAAAUAAAAUUGCUUAUUUCGCAGACAGCGAAAGCAGCGCAAUCAGAUGUAUAGAUUUGCAGAAUGGGCGCGUUUCUGCAGUUUGCGGUGCAAACAGAGAUCCAGCGGUUAGUUUAAACGUAUAAACGGAUUUCGAAACAGUUUGCGAUUUCUCGUAAUGGUAACGGCUAUUCAAAAAUGACGAAUCGUUGGAUCUACAUGAUUUUGGUGAUUCGGACGGCACACGGUAUACGGUAAAGCUUCAACAUCCUUUGGGAAUAACGUGGCAUUCGAAGGAGAACGUUAUCUACGUAGCCGACACGUACAACCA